AGUGAACGCUGGCGGUAGGCCUAACACAUGCAAGUCGAACGGCAGCACAGGAGAGCUUGCUCUCUGGGUGGCGAGUGGCGGACGGGUGAGGAAUACAUCGGAAUCUACUCUGUCGUGGGGGAUAACGUAGGGAAACUUACGCUAAUACCGCAUACGACCUACGGGUGAAAGCAGGGGAUCUUCGGGCCUUGCGCGAUUGAAUGAGCCGAUGUCGGAUUAGCUAGUUGGCGGGGUAAAGGCCCACCAAGGCGACGAUCCGUAGCUGGUCUGAGGGGAUGAUCAGCCACACUGGAACUGGGACACGGUCCAGCCUCCUACGGGAGGCAGGAGUGGGGAAUAUUUGACAAUGGGCGCAAGCCUGAUCCAGCCAUACCGCGUGGGUGAAGAAGGCCUUCGGGUUGUAAAGCCCUUUUGUUGGGAAAGAAAUCCAGCUGGCUAAUACCCGGUUGGGAUGACGGUACCCAAAGAAUAAGCACCGGCUAACUUCGUGCCAGCAGCCGCAGUAA
rnacentral:rRNA from 1 species